AUGCUAUUUUUUGAUGCAGCUUUAUUUCAUAACUCCAACAAGUCUGGUGCUGGUGUAGUAGCUCUGAACCAUAUGGGUCAUUGUAUCAAGGCGUGUACUGAUGUGUUGCCUGGUGCACUCACCCCCGAGAUGGCUGAAGCUUUGGCUCUUCGCAUAGCAGUUGACAUGGCACGUCAAGAACACUUUUCCCAUGUGAUCUUUGCCACUGAUUGCCUUUCUUUGAUGCAAAGGCUGAAAUCCAAAGCCCAAGAUCGUUCUGUGGUUGGUUCCAUCGUGGCUGAUAUCAAGCUGGCAACUCUGGGCUUCUCCUCAUUCUCUUUUGUGCAUGUUCGUCGGCCAUGUAAUGUGUUGGCUCAUGUUUUAGCUAGGUCUUGUUAUAAUUCUACUGGUCUUUGUGUUUUCAACUAUGCUUCGGAGUGUAUCUGGGAGACUUUGUAUGACUUUGUUGUUUAG
rnacentral:rRNA from 1 species